CGUGUAGGCGGCUGAGCAAGUCAGAUGUGAAAUCCCUGGGCUUAAACCCAGGAAGUGCAUUUGAAACUGCUUAGCUUGAGUAAGGAAGAGGGAAGUGGAAUUCCUGGUGUAGAGGUGAAAUUCGUAGAUAUCAGGAGGAACACCGGUGGCGAAGGCGACUUCCUGGUCCUAUACUGACGCUGAGACGCGAGAGCGUGGGGAGCAAACA
rnacentral:rRNA from 1 species